rnacentral:rRNA from 1 species
UACGGAGGGUGCAAGCGUUAAUCGGAAUUACUGGGCGUAAAGCGUGCGUAGGUGGUUCGUUAAGUCCGUUGUGAAAGCCCCGAGCUCAACUUGGGAAUUGCAGUGGAUACUGGCGAGCUAGAGUGCGGUAGAGGAAGGUGGAAUUCCCGGUGUAGCGGUGAAAUGCGUAGAGAUCGGGAGGAACACCAGUGGCGAAGGCGGUUACCUGGUCCUGCACUGACGCUGAUGCACGAAAGCUGGGGGAGCAAACGGG